rnacentral:rRNA from 1 species
GACGAACGCUGGCGGCGUGCUUAACACAUGCAAGUCGAACGAUGAAGCCCUUUCGGGGGGUGGAUUAGUGGCGAACGGGUGAGUAACACGUGGGUAACCUGCCCUGUACCCUGGGAUAAGCCUUGGAAACGAGGUCUAAUACCGGAUAUGACCUGCUCUCGCAUGGGGGGUGGUGGAAAGUUUUGGCGGUGCAGGAUGGACCCGNGGCCUAUCAGCUUGUUGGUGGGGUNAUGGCCUACCAAGGCGACGACGGGUAGCCGGCCUGAGAGGGCGACCGGCCACACUGGGACUGAGACACGGCCCAGACUCCUACGGGAGGCAGCAGUGGGGAAUAUUGCACAAUGGGCGAAAGCCUGAUGCAGCGACGCCGCGUGAGGG